rnacentral:rRNA from 1 species
CCUACGGGAGGCAGCAGUGGGGAAUUUUGGACAAUGGGCGAAAGCCUGAUCCAGCCAUUCCGCGUGAGUGAAGAAGGCCUUCGGGUUGUAAAGCUCUUUCGCAAGGGAAGAAAACUUAGAUACUAAUAUUAUCUGAGGUUGACGGUACCUUGAUAAGAAGCACCGGCUAACUACGUGCCAGCAGCCGCGGUAAUACGUAGGGUGCGAGCGUUAAUCGGAAUUACUGGGCGUAAAGCGUGCGCAGGCGGUUUUGUAAGUCAGAUGUGAAAUCCCCGAGCUCAACUUGGGAACUGCGUUUGAAACUACAAGACUAGAAUAUGUCAGAGGGGGGUAGAAUUCCACGUGUAGCAGUGAAAUGCGUAGAGAUGUGGAGGAAUACCAAUGGCGAAGGCAGCCCCCUGGGAUAAUAUUGACGCUCAUGCACGAAAGCGUGGGGAGCAAACAGGAUUAGAUACCCUGGUAGUCCACGCCCUAAACGAUGUCUACUAGUUGUUGGUGGAGUAAAAUCCAUGAGUAACGCAGCUAACGCGNGAGUAGACGCCGNGGAGGUACGGUCGCGAGAUAAACGUACGAAAGAAGUAGACGGCGUGAGACGUGACCGACGGACGACGACGAGGGAGGAGG